AGAAAAUCAUUUGUUUGAAAUCUGAGGAAUUGGAAAAUGGUGAUUUCGAAUUGGGCUUUCUCUGCGAUUUCCGCUGUUGCCCUUUUCGUUUCUUGCUCAUUUGCCCUCACUCCAGAUGGGCAAGCGUUGUUGGAGUUGAAGAUCGCGCUGAAUGAUAGUAGGAAUCUUCUUGAAAACUGGAGAGAUUCCGAUGAAUCUCCAUGUUCAUGGACUGGAAUCUCUUGUCAGCCUCACGACCACAGAGUCGUCUCCAAUCCAUGGAGGCAUUCCAUCAGAUAUUGAAAACCUUACUUCUCUUGCUAUAUUGGAUAUAUCAAGCAAUACUCUGAAGGGUGCAAUUCCUUCUUCUCCUACCCGACUGUCACGGUUAUGGCUCCCUUUAAGUAAAAUCAGACUAUGUUUUGUCUGCUGAUCUUGGAGAUUUAGCAUUGAACAAUUUGGAAGAUUUUGUUAAGGUUCUGAUGCUCGAACCACUCCUUAGAGAAACUCCAGCAGCUUUAUUGAACACCCAAACCAUACACUUCGGAUAGCUUUGAUUAGAGAGAGGCUCCUACUCUCUUCCCCACCCAGUUCUCCACCAGAAAAUCCCCUUCCCUUUCCCCCUCCUCCUCCUUUCUUUAUACAAUCCCCUCCCUAACAGAAUCCUCUAACUACUACCAACCCUAAGGAAACAACUAACAAAACAGCCAAACAAAUGUCAACACCUAUAUGCUAUCUACACACACAAACAACCACCACACUAGCUGCAUACCUUUGCCCCUAAUCCUUCUGUAGUACUUAUCAGAUUUCUCUGCUAAUACUUUGUUCUUUUGUUUCGGGAACUUGUCAACCAAUGGCGAGGUCCCAGAUUUCGGAGUUCUUAGUGAGUUUGGCGCUGAAUCAUUCAUUGGCAAUUUGGUCCUUUGUGGUCGACAACUUCACAAGCCGUGUAGAACAUGAAUGGGAUCCCAAGUUGUUCUUCCUCAUGCAGAAGCGACGAUGCAGCAGGCAAUAUCAUGCCCAUUAUGGCUUGUAUUCGCUUUUCAGUUGCUUACAGGUACAAAGCUUAUAACUUUCCACUGCGAUCUUCCCUACUCCUCUGGCAAGCUCAUAGAGAAGCUGGAGUCUCUUAACGAGGAAAAUAUCGUGGGUUCCGGAGGAUUUGGUAAAGUCUACCGCAUGGUAAUGAACGAUUGUGGAACCUUUGCCGUGAAGAUAAUAGAUCGGAGUCGUGAAGGAUCUGACCAAGUGUUUGAGGGAGAAGUGGAGAUACUAGGUAUUGUCAAGCACAUGAAUUUGGUUAACUUACGAGGAUAUUCCCGCCUUCCUUCUUCAAGGCUUCUCAUGUAUGACUAUCUCACCAUUGGCAGCUUGGACGAUCUUCUUCACGGUGUACGAGCCCAAGAAGAUCGGACGUUGAAUUGUAGUGCCCGUUGGAGAAUAGCACUGGGUUCUGCUCGGGGGAAAGCGUACUUGCAUCAUGACUGUAGUCCCAAGAUAGUUCACCGAGACAUAAAAUCAAGUAACAUCCUACUCGAUGACAAGUUGGAGCCUCAUGUCUGUCUCUGACUUUGGUCUCGCAAAACUUCUGGUUGACGAAGAGGCUCAUGUCACCACCGUCGUUACUGGCACCUUCGACUAUUUGGCCCCAGAGUAUCACAAAUUACCGGGAGAGCAACCGAGAAAUCCGGCGUCUAUAGAUUCGGUGUUCUUCUGCUCGAGCAUGUCACCGGAAAAAGAUCCGAUAUUCGUAAAACAAGAUGAACACUCUACUGAAAGAAAACAGGACAGAGGAGUUAGUGGACAAGAGAUGUGUACGGACGCCGAUGCGGAAACAGUGGAUGCUGUGGUUGAAAUGGCGGCGAGGCGUACGGACGGUGACCCAGAGGACCGUUCCCGACCAUGAACGAGGCGGUGCAGUUGCUUGAGCAAGAAGUAACGACUCCUCGUCCGACCGAUUUCUACGACUCCCAUUCCGACAUACUGCCAAGUAAUUAUCCUGAAUGAUAAGUUUCGAGCUGAUGAAUCCGUACGAUGGACGUACGUAUGCAUGGUCAUGCAUGAGAAUGAGCAUGUGAUUUUUGUAACAAAAGAAAAAAAAUCUUGACCUUUUAUACAACCCUAAUUAACUAUCCAAAAAAACACUGUUAUGGCCAAAAUAACAUUGAAUUGAAUUUAAUUUCAGAUAUAUUUUUUUA